UAGGGAAUCUUCGGCAAUGGACGAAAGUCUGACCGAGCAACGCCGCGUGAGUGAAGAAGGUUUUCGGAUCGUAAAACUCUGUUGUUAGAGAAGAACAAGGACGUUAGUAACUGAACGUCCCCUGACGGUAUCUAACCAGAAAGCCACGGCUAACUACGUGCCAGCAGCCGCGGUAAUACGUAGGUGGCAAGCGUUGUCCGGAUUUAUUGGGCGUAAAGCGAGCGCAGGCGGUUUCUUAAGUCUGAUGUGAAAGCCCCCGGCUCAACCGGGGAGGGUCAUUGGAAACUGGGAGACUUGAGUGCAGAAGAGGAGAGUGGAAUUCCAUGUGUAGCGGUGAAAUGCGUAGAUAUAUGGAGGAACACCAGUGGCGAAGGCGGCUCUGUGGUCUGUAACUGACGCUGAGGCUCGAAAGCGUGGGGAGCAAACAGG
rnacentral:rRNA from 1 species